rnacentral:ncRNA from 2 species
AAAACUUAAUAUUUCAUAUGUUUGCUUAAUUCAUGUUGUUUGUUUUAAGCACUAAGAGGGAAACAGGAUGAGCCUGUGCGGUCCCGCCACUGUGACGGAUAGCAAGUCUGACGAAUGAUUAAUUUCUAUUGUUCACCCACUGAGAAAUCGGGAAGGGCAGAUGUAGCGAUGAUUCCAAAGCCAGGAGACCUGCAUAUGAUGGAGCAUUACC